GCCAUGCUGCUGGUCUGCAGAGCCCUCGAGUGGACGCCCCAGGGGAGUGUCAGCGCCAAGCUCCAUGCCGGAGGAAGAGAAUCUAGGUCACAGAUCCUCUUUGGAAACAAGUACGUCUGGUGCUGCCAAGGGAAGCAAACUGGCUUGAAAGAAAAAAAGGGGAGCAAACCAGCUUGAAAGCAACAGAAUGGGGAGAAAUAACUCAGUGAUUGAAACAAGAAUACAACAGGAAAGCUUUGUAGACGACUACCAAUUGCCCAAUAGCAGAAUGGGUUACCAGUCACCGCAAUUGCAGGAAGAAAAGGUGUCUAUGGGUGGGUGUAAAUACCCUUAGUACUAUCACAGCACUAUAAUGUGCAGGAAUCCUUGUCUGCCCCAGAAGUCUUAAGCAAUUUUGGAACCACUGUCAUCAAAGGUAAAUAAUCCCAGUGUUUUUCAGGUUGACACUAUUACCCGUGAUACUUCAGGGAUCACAGAGGAUCUGAGCCAAAAGAUGGAGCAACCAAAUUCCCUGGACUGAGGCCUCCUUUGUCUAAUAAGAGUGCUGGUUUACCUUAUCCAGGGAAGACAUAACAGGAGCAAAGCCAGAGAGCAUCUUCACAUCAAUAAUGACCAUGUUGGAGC